UCCUCCGGCGCCGUCGCGAUGGCGUCCAUCCUGCCCCGGCUGCUCCUUCGCCGCCGAAGGGCUCUGCAACCCGCCGCCGCAGGUCUACGCUCCCUACGGUUCGUCGCCUCGCCUCCUCUCGACGGUCCAAUCGCCAUCAGUUCCCCACGCCUCGGCGCACUGCUCGAGCGUUCCCGUGCUGCUGCUGGAUUCGCGACAGCUGCGCGGAGACAGUCCCCGGCGAGGCACGGGAGCACGGCGGUGACGCUGGACACGGACGGCGGCUUCGCGCGCUUCUCGGUCGGAGACGAACCGCGCACGACGCAACCGCAGGGGAAGAAGAAGCAGAAGAUGUCGAAGAAGUCCAAGGUGAACCAGCUCAAGUGGUUCCGCCUCAAGGCCAAGAAGAAGAUGAAGUCGCCUAACCCCGAGGUCCGGAUCAGAUACAAGCUCGACAAGGCUAAGAGGAAAGAGGAGUGGCUGAUCGAGAAGCUCCGGAAGUACGAGGCGCCCUGGAGGGGUCCGGCGCCGGUCCACGACCCCGAGAUUCUGACCGAGGAGGAGAAGUUUUACCUCAAACGAACCGGGGAGAAGAAAAAGAACUACGUCCCCGUCGGGAGGCGAGGGGUGUUUGGCGGCGUGGUCCUCAACAUGCACCUCCACUGGAAGAGGCACGAGACCAUGAAGGUGGUUUGUAAGCCCUGCCGGCCUGGCCAGGUGUACGAGUACGCCGAGGAGCUGGCCAGGCUCAGCAAGGGGACUGUCAUAGAUAUUAAACCAGAUAAUACGAUUAUAUUCUAUCGUGGGAAAAAUUAUGUGCAACCGAAAGUUAUGUUGCCUCCUGAUACUCUGUCCAAGCAGAAGGCCUUGGAGAAAUAUAGGUUUGAACAAUCUCUUGAACAUACCAGUAAAUUUAUCGAGCAGCUGGAGAAGGAGCUUGAAGAUUACCAGAAGCAUGUUGAGUUAUUUAAGAAGCGUGAGGGGGCUAUUGCUGAGGAGAUCAGUAACGAAGACACUGAUGGUGAUGAUCUCACAUCUAGCUCAGAUACUGAAUGAAUCGUCUUCUUGAUCAAUUGGCACCUCGGCGCAGAUCCUUUCACAAUGGAGAUUUGAUAUGAUCUAGCUGCCCUAAAUCUGAGUGCAUCUGGUUUGCCAUCACACUUUCCCAAAUUUUUGGUAGACAGGGUGUGGCAAUCAUUCCGUCUUCUCUAGCAGUGUACCCCACCUGUCAUGGACUGAGCUCUAAGAGUUGCACUGAGAGAUACUGAAGUUCAGAGUCAGCAGCAUUUCGACGCAACAUGAGCUUUGGAUGCUUGUCGGGCGAGAUGAGUUGUGUUUGCAGCUUUCAUCAGAAAUGAGCUUCCUUGGAUCAUCAGUAGUGAAAAUCAACUUGGGUGUCUUUUGGAGAAGGAUCUGCUCAAAUGGAAACAUGUGCAUAGUCUACUGCCUGACAUUGGCUGUACCCUUACAGAGAAGACUUGGAGACAUGGUAGUGUUCCAACGGAGAUAAUAUGUGUAGCUAGCUUUCAAAAGCAUUUGCCACACACAGUCUGAGAUAAUAAAUGUACCUUGCUUAUACAUAUGUCCAUUGAAGAGCUGAUUCACAAACCAUGAUUAAGACAUACUGCUUAUGUCAAAUGUAAUGCAUUUCUUGAUCACACAAAUGGAUGAUUUGCUUGGAUCACAAUAUUUUUCUUAAUUUUUUAUUGCUCUUCAUGUGAGAGAUUAACAGAUCCUGAAGCCCUUGUGCCACCAGUGUAAACUAUCUGUGAAAUGGUACAAGCACCGGUAAUUCUGUCAGAAGAAGAGAAUGGCACUGUGUAUUAAGGAAAAAGCCAACCGGAAACCAAUGUACUAGUUUUGAUGCCUACAGGCAUGUCUUGCCUACCGGAAACUCAUGUACCAAUUUUCAGAGGCUUCAGCAUCCAAACCAAUUGAAAUCAGGUAUUGCUUUCCUGUACACCCUAGUUUCCCUCUGUUAUGUAUUACAGUACGGAUUACUCAUUUUCUUGAAAAACGUAUGAUUGCGGAAAGAUGCAGAAUGAAUCGAGACCAUAGUUAACCAAUCAUAAGUAAAACACAAAUCUUCAGGCACAUUUCACUACUUUUGCAUAUUCAGUCAUUUACAAUAACUGAAGCACUUGUACAGUUGUACUGAACAGAAGAAAACCAAACAGUCCAGUUUACCUAUGGUUGGCAUAUCAUUUGAUAUGCACCCUUGCUUUAUGACCAUCGUAUUUAUCCUCCAUUUGUGACUUGCAUGAACAUUUAGGCUAGAGCAACAUUCUUCUUUCACACUAAAGCUUAUGUAUUUAUCUUCUUUUGUGUAGUUGUAACUGUUGUAUUUGCAAGAAGCUUGCCGUAAUCUGAUUUCACGCCAAUUCUUCAGCUGCAGCCGCCGGCUGUGAAGCCGAUCCUGGACUGUGCGACGUCGUAGACGACACUGAACGUCUGCUGCUGCGUGUUCCCGAUGAUCGCUGUGUCGUCGGUGGCCGCGAACGCCAAGCACGUUGUUGAAUCGUCGACGUCGAUGAGCACGUUCCCCGGCUUUAGCUUCAGUGUCGCUCCGCCAGCGAAGGCCAAAUCCACCGUAGGCAAGUGCAGCUUCGAGACCUGGCCCUUGAAGCACGUAUCCAGGAUCGAGUAGGCCGGGGCAUGCGGCGUUCCUCCCAUGGCUGCGACCAGUGCUUUGCUCAGUGCUGUGUAUACAGCCGUAGGCAGCCGCGAGAUCACUGUGCCAGAGUCGAUGAUCGUUGGCAGGCUGCUGUACUCCGAGGAAGAAACAGCGAGUGGGUUGCCGCCAACGGACAUCCCAGCGAUGUUGAUGAAGUAGAGUGAGGUGUCAAGCGAGCUGGAGACCAUGGGUGUGUACAAAUACUGCCCUGGGUUGUACGACCCGAUGGACAGGUACCCAGCUGAUGCCGACGUAGGGAGGCAGUAGGAGAACGAGGAGCCGAUGCUCGGCGCGAGCUGGUAAAGCAGAGAGAGCUUGUUCCGGGCGAGGCCGAUGAGCCCGGCGGACUGGCCGAAGAGGCCUUCGUUGUCCUGGCCGCAGCCAUAGACGAAACCGGGGAAGCUGCUGCCGCCAAGGGAGACGGUGUCCUUGCUAAGGUAGCCGAUGGAGAAGGAACCGUCACCGUAGCUGGCCUGGUAGAUGCAGGUGUUAGAUUUGGAGCAAGCGGAGGGGUUAAACGUGGCGGC